AUUGGACGCUGGCGGCAUGCCUUACACAUGCAAGUCGAACGGCAGCACGGGUGCUUGCACCUGGUAGCGAGUGGCGAACGGGUGAGUAAUACAUCGGAACAUGUCCUGUAGUGGGGGAUAGCCCGGCGAAAGCCGGAUUAAUACCGCAUACGAUCUACGGAUGAAAGCGGGGGACCUUCGGGCCUCGCGCUAUAGGGUUGGCCGAUGGCUGAUUAGCUAGUUGGUGGGGUAAAGGCCUACCAAGGCGACGAUCAGUAGCUGGUCUGAGAGGACGACCAGCCACACUGGGACUGAGACACGGCCCAGACUCCUACGGGAGGCAGCAGUGGGGAAUUUUGGACAAUGGGCGAAAGCCUGAUCCAGCAAUGCCGCGUGUGUGAAGAAGGCCUUCGGGUUGUAAAGCACUUUUGUCCGGAAAGAAAUCCUUGGCCCUAAUACGGUCGGGGGAUGACGGUACCGGAAGAAUAAGCACCGGCUAACUACGUG
rnacentral:rRNA from 1 species